CGCCAUUAGAGAGCAAAGCAGAGCACGAAGAAAUUUGUUUUUGUAUAAGAAUUCUAUUAGCAAAAGCGAGAGAUCCAAGAAAUACCCCCGUGGACAAACCUUGUGAUGUAUGCGGUGGAACAGGCUUUGUGGAGUUGAUUGCUACUUGCUUUCAAUGUAAAAUAGCUUGGGAACACGUGUAUGAAUUAAAACUAUUGCAUACAGGUCCUCCUUAAAUAUGUUCCAGAAAUUUGGUUUUGUGAGACAUGUCGUUCUGGAGAUCAGUCACUCAAAAAUCUGUUAGAAAAAUAUUCUUUCAGAAGUCUUUAGGAAGGAUCAAACACCUUUGAGAUAAUCCACUCUGACAUGUUGUGAUCUGUGGGUUCCAGAAGGCUUGUUGAAGAGUCAGGCAGUUCAGGUCAUCUUCGAAAGCGAACUUUCUUGGGAACUGCCAAAGUAAAGUUUAUUCCUAUUGAAAAAGCUCUUAAAAUGUCAUCUGGAGCUCAAAAGGUGGAAUUGCCCUCACCAAGUAAAUUGCACUCAAGCUCUAUCUGAAUAGAUACCAAGGAAACAAUGUCUAGAAGGGCUUCCACUGAGUUAAAAUCUACCCCUAAAAAAAAUUCUUCAUAGAAGGUGAAGGAAACUUACAAAAAUUUACCUGCUGGACAAGCUCUCUGGACAUGGUAGUGAAAAAAUCAAUUCAAUCACUCCUGCACAAGAGCCUAAAUCUUGUACUGAAUUAAAAUGAGGUAAUUUAUGUGCUGAUGCUAAACCCAAGAACUCUAUCAUUCAAGGAUUGGGUCUGCUGAACAUUUUGCCCAAACCUCAGAUAAAUCUUCCAAGGAACCCAGAUCUAGAUGCUACCUGGUGUGGAAGCCUUGAGAUCCUUGAUAUGGUUUAUUGUGGUCAAUUUUGUGAUGGGUUCCAGGCUCAUCUUCCGGGGCCCAUCCUGAAACUGUAGAGUAUUCAAGGCUCAUGCCUAAUGUGCUCCAGUGUACGUUGCUCCCUUGUAGCAGUGUAUUGGCAGAAAUCUUUGAGAAUGACAGACCCACUGUAAAUGAUAUGGCACUGUUCUUUUCCCCUGGCGAUUUUGAGAGGACUGGAAGUAAUGGAACCCUUCCUGUGGGGAGUAUAUUGCCCUGCAAAAGGCCAUCUGGCAGUUCCCUCUCUUCUUUUCUCCGACUCUCAAGAACAUGAUGCAGCAAAGAUUAGCGGCUUUUCUCACAAGUAAAAAUGAAAUGGACAUUGCAUUCCUCCUACUGGGGAUGCUGCUCAUAGGCAUAGCAUGAGUUAACAAAACCCAGUGAUAACUUCGUUGUGUGUUUAAGUAAAAUGUUGCAAGGUUCUCUCUAAAUCCUCUGUAAGCGUUGCGUUGGAACACUUGCUUUAUCUAAAUCUUGCUAGUUUUGAGUCUGAGUUGCCAAACAAUGGAACUAGAAA